AGUCACAGAAAUCUAAUAACAUUAUGCACCAAAUAGAUUUGGUGAUCAACAAAAUACUUUUAAAGAUAAAAUUCUAUGGAGGGGCCAGGUGCAGUGGCUCAUGAUGCUAAAUUUGAGGUGCUUUUAGGACAUCCAUGUGAGGGCAUCUGGGAGGCAGCUGACAAUCUGGAGGUCUGGAGAGUAGUCAGGGUUGAAGACAUCAACAGAGGUGAUGGCUGAAAUCUUGGGAGGAGGUAAGGGCAAUCAAGACAAGAAGGAGGACUGAAAAAAGAGAAUAAUAUCACAUCACACUAGGAAAUGCUUACAUUUUAAAAGAAUGCAUGGAGGAAGAGAAAACCAAAUAAGACAGAGAAGGCAGAGAGGUAGGUAGUGAAACUGGAGCCUCCAGAUCCUAAGUGCUUGAAAGUGAUGAUGCCCUUAUGCAACACUUCCUUUGCACCCUGGCACACUUCAGCUCAAGGGACCUGGCAAGUGUAUACUAGAUUUCUGUUGAUUCAGCUAAUCUUGGUUCCUGUUCUAUUUUCGUACUCCAUGACUUUCAAGGUUUCUUUCA
rnacentral:lncRNA from 10 species